rnacentral:tRNA from 1 species
GGCGCCGUGGCUUAGUGGUAAAGCGCCUGUCUAGUAAACAGGAGAUCGGUGGUUCGAUCCCGCCCGGUGCCU